CGUUCCCUGGAACAAAAAUAUUCUCAUUGACAAACAAAAUAAACUUCUUUAGUUUCUACAGCAUAUCAGGAACAUGACAUUCCCUCCAUCACUUCAACUUACAAGUCUUUUUAGGAUGAGUUCUUCAUAGGAUGAAACUCACCUCAGAUCAGGUGUCUGUUGUUUCUCUACAAUACAGUAUUCUCACACAGUCCAAACAUAACUUUUGGGGCACUUUCAAGCUGAAUGAAAUCUGCUUAUCUUUGCAAACAACUUCCCCAAGUGUGGCAGAACAUAUCUGGACAAUAUGAAGAUACUGAAAGUGUUUCUGACCCACCACAUGUCGAAAGAGCACUGUGUUUCUGGUCAGCAGGUUGGGAUAACUAAAACCAUAAUGGGUGGCCUCUACUAAAAAGGCAGCUCCUCUUUUGCCCCACAUCCCCCUGGGAAGAAGCAUCCAUUCCCUUCAUGCUAGCAACAAUACUUGAAGAAGGACCACUAUUUAAUAAAAAGUACCCUGGGUUAAUCAGUUACAGCAAUUAAUUCCAUUUACUAUCAAGUAACAAGCAACACAAAUGUCUAACAGGAUUUGUUACUGAACAGCUGCACAAGCAUAUGAAGAAUUACUGUUAGUUUGUUUUCAAACACCUGACAGAGUAUAAUUCAGCCCCGAAUACUAACUAUAUUAAAAAAACAUUAACUGCAUGAGUCUAACAGUCAUGCUGAUUUCAACUCAAAGUGUUCCUACUGUAUAAGGAAAAAGAGGCUUUAAAAAUAUUUAAGCUUGCAGAAUAUGAAAAGGAUUUUGUGUCUGGAACUGACAGACAUACCCGAUCAGAAUGGGUUUCCAAGUUGUAUCAACUUGUUAAUAACCAUAACGACAAAAAAGAAUACUACAGAUAAUACUUUGAUCUAUUUCUGAAUACAGGUAGGGAGAUGUGAAAGCCUUUAGGAAAGAAAUAUGGUAUUUUUU